rnacentral:lncRNA from 1 species
CUCUGCCCUUAAAAUUCUCCAUUCUCUCAAAUGAUCUCUAACACUCAAAACCCUAGCCGCCUCUGUCAUCUUCUCCGACCAAAUCCCACCAGAGUCCAUGGAUUUACAGGACAUGGACAGCCUAUUCUCAUAUCCGUUCACCCCCAAAUCAUGGUUGUUCAAGGUUUUCGAGGUUCAACCUCAACGAUGCCCGUUCAGAUCUUCAAUAUAUCCAGGGGUUUCUCCGGCUCUGUUCCGACGUGUUCUAGCAUUUUAAAAGGCAUAGCUAUGGUUCAGACUUGUUCGAGACCAGAUCUUUUCCAAGCCUUCUCUUUUCUAGGGUUUCUGAGAAACCCUAAUGCCAUUUCGAGGUUCCUUCUUCUAUUGAUUGCUUAGAUCUAUGGUGAAUCUAUGUUUUAUUUAACGUUUCGAAACUUUCCCCCAAUUGUUCUCUUCAAAAUUAGUCUGUUUCAAUUUAGGUUCUUUUUGAAAAUCUUAAAACAAAUUCUUUCUCUUCUUCUAGUAAUAUGCCCUGUUCUUAUAGAUUUCGCUUGUG